rnacentral:rRNA from 2 species
ACGCUGGCGGCGUGCCUAAUACAUGCAAGUCGAACGAGUUCUGAUUAUUGAAAGGUGCUUGCAUCUUGAUUUAAUUUUGAACGAGUGGCGGACGGGUGAGUAACACGUGGGUAACCUGCCCUUAAGUGGGGGAUAACAUUUGGAAACAGAUGCUAAUACCGCAUAAAUCCAAGAACCGCAUGGUUCUUGGCUGAAAGAUGGCGUAAGCUAUCGCUUUUGGAUGGACCCGCGGCGUAUUAGCUAGUUGGUGAGGUAACGGCUCACCAAGGCAAUGAUACGUAGCCGAACUGAGAGGUUGAUCGGCCACAUUGGGACUGAGACACGGCCCAAACUCCUACGGGAGGCAGCAGUAGGGAAUCUUCCACAAUGGACGCAAGUCUGAUGGAGCAACGCCGCGUGAGUGAAGAAGGCUUUCGGGUCGUAAAACUCUGUUGUUGGAGAAGAAUGGUCGGCAGAGUAACUGUUGUCGGCGUGACGGUAUCCAACCAGAAAGCCACGGCUAACUACGUGCCAGCAGCCGCGGUAAUACGUAGGUGGCAAGCGUUAUCCGGAUUUAUUGGGCGUAAAGCGAGCGCAGGCGGUUUUUUAAGUCUGAUGUGAAAGCCCUCGGCUUAACCGAGGAAGUGCAUCGGAAACUGGGAAACUUGAGUGCAGAAGAGGACAGUGGAACUCCAUGUGUAGCGGUGAAAUGCGUAGAUAUAUGGAAGAACACCAGUGGCGAAGGCGGCUGUCUGGUCUGUAACUGACGCUGAGGCUCGAAAGCAUGGGUAGCGAACAGGAUUAGAUACCCUGGUAGUCCAUGCCGUAAACGAUGAAUGCUAGGUGUUGGAGGGUUUCCGCCCUUCAGUGCCGCAGCUAACGCAUUAAGCAUUCCGCCUGGGGAGUACGACCGCAAGGUUGAAACUCAAAGGAAUUGACGGGGGCCCGCACAAGCGGUGGAGCAUGUGGUUUAAUUCGAAGCAACGCGAAGAACCUUACCAGGUCUUGACAUCUUUUGAUCACCUGAGAGAUCAGGUUUCCCCUUCGGGGGCAAAAUGACAGGUGGUGCAUGGUUGUCGUCAGCUCGUGUCGUGAGAUGUUGGGUUAAGUCCCGCAACGAGCGCAACCCUUAUGACUAGUUGCCAGCAUUUAGUUGGGCACUCUAGUAAGACUGCCGGUGACAAACCGGAGGAAGGUGGGGAUGACGUCAAAUCAUCAUGCCCCUUAUGACCUGGGCUACACACGUGCUACAAUGGAUGGUACAACGAGUUGCGAGACCGCGAGGUCAAGCUAAUCUCUUAAAGCCAUUCUCAGUUCGGACUGUAGGCUGCAACUCGCCUACACGAAGUCGGAAUCGCUAGUAAUCGCGAUCAGCACGUCGCG